rnacentral:rRNA from 1 species
CGGAUAGAGCUAGCGAAAUCGCUCGUAUUCAGCCAAAGAUCCAUGGGCGCCAUUUGUUGAGUUGCUAAUCACGCUCGGCAUGUGUGCGUCUUGUGGAUUGAGGUGCAUUUGCGGGCGUAUGCGCUGAGACUUGUGGGGUAGCUGCAAUACCCGUGUUUAGAGGCCUCCCUCUGGGUGGAACCUAGGCGCGGUGAAGGCUGUUUGCCCCGCUCGUAUGUUGGCACGGAGUACUUUCUCUGCGCUGCUGUUUUCUUGCGGUGGUAUCGCAUGCGAUGCCUAGCUUGGGAGCUGUGGUGUAGGUCGGGUCCCCGUGCCCCUCUCGGUGUAGAAGCUGGUCAUCUCUCCGACCCGUCUUGAAACACGGACCAAGGAGUUUAGCGUAUGCGCGAGUCAUUGGGUGUUUAAAACUCAUAGGCGCAAUGAAAGUGAAGGCCCGGUCGCUGGGCUGACAUGCGAGUGCUGAGGCUUCGGCCUUAGCAUGCAGCAUGGUCCCGUUCUAGUCGCUUGCGACGGAGCGGAGACAGAGCGUAUGCGCUGAG